rnacentral:rRNA from 1 species
ACGAACGCUGGCGGCAUGCCUAACACAUGCCAGUCGAACGAGGCCUUCGGGUCUAGUGGCGCACGGGUGCGUAACGCGUGGGAAUCUGCCCUUGGGUUCGGAAUAACUCGCCGAAAGGCGUGCUAAUACCGGAUGAUGACGUAAGUCCAAAGAUUUAUCGCCCAAGGAUGAGCCCGCGUUGGAUUAGCUAGUUGGUGAGGUAAAGGCUCACCAAGGCGACGAUCCAUAGCUGGUCUGAGAGGAUGAUCAGCCACACUGGGACUGAGACACGGCCCAGACUCCUACGGGAGGCAGCAGUGAGGAAUAUUGGACAAUGGGCGAAAGCCUGAUCCAGCAAUGCCGCGUGAGUGAUGAAGGCCUUAGGGUUGUAAAGCUCUUUUACCCGGGAUGAUAAUGACCGUACCGGGAGAAUAAGCUCCGGCUAACUCCGUG